rnacentral:rRNA from 1 species
CUGCCUGGUAGUGGGGGACGAACGUUCGAAAGGAACGCUAAUACCGCAUACGUCCUACGGGAGAAAGCAGGGACCUUCGGGCCUUGCGCUAUCAGAUGAGCCUAGGUCGGAUUAGCUAGUUGGUGAGGUAAUGGCUCACCAAGGCGACGAUCCGUAACUGGUCUGAGAGGAUGAUCAGUCACACUGGAACUGAGACACGGUCCAGACUCCUACGGGAGGCAGCAGCC